UCUCCUGGAAACGGGUGGUAAUGCCGGAUGCUCCGACUCCUCGCAUGGGGUGUCGGGAAAGAUUUCAUCGGUAUGGGAUGGGGUCGCGUCCUAUCAGGUAGUCGGCGGGGUAACGGCCCACCGAGCCUACGACGGGUAGCCGGCCUGAGAGGGCGACCGGCCACAUUGGGACUGAGAUACGGCCCAGACUCCUACGGGAGGCAGCAGUGGGGAAUAUUGCACAAUGGGCGCAAGCCUGAUGCAGCGACGCCGCGUGCGGGAUGACGGCCUUCGGGUUGUAAACCGCUUUUGAUCGGGAGCAAGCCUUCGGGUGAGUGUACCUUUCGAAUAAGCACCGGCUAACUACGUGCCAGCAGCCGCGGUAAUACGUAGGGUGCAAGCGUUAUCCGGAAUUAUUGGGCGUAAAGGGCUCGUAGGCGGUUCGUCGCGUCCGGUGUGAAAGUCCAUCGCUUAACGGUGGAUCUGCGCCGGGUACGGGCGGGCUGGAGUGCGGUAGGGGAGACUGGAAUUCCCGGUGUAACGGUGGAAUGUGUAGAUAUC
rnacentral:rRNA from 2 species